rnacentral:rRNA from 1 species
UACAGAGGGUGCGAGCGUUAAUCGGAAUUACUGGGCGUAAAGGGCGCGUAGGUGGUUUAUCAAGUUGUCUGUGAAAUACCCGGGCUUAACCUGGGAAGGUCAGACAAAACUGAAAGACUAGAGUAGGACAGAGGGAAGUGGAAUUUCCGGUGUAGCAGUGAAAUGCGUAGAUAUCGGAAAGAACACCAGUGGCGAAGGCGGCUUUCUGGGUCCAUACUGACACUGAGGCGCGAAAGCGUGGGGAGCAAACAGG